GUGAAUCAUCGAAUUUUUGAACGCAAAUUGCACUUUCUUGUAUUCCGGAAAGUAUGCCUGUUUGAGGGUCAAUAAAAUAAAAAUAGGUGUUGUUGCUGCCUUUCGUUGUGCCGCGACGGAAUUGGGUCGUCUUACCUUCUGUUAAGUGACUUAAAAUUUUUUCUUGAUUUUCGAACGUAUUUAAAUCGCUUACGUACGUUUGAAAUAUCUAGUUCUUUUUAAGUUCUGUCCUUUCCAUUAGUUG
rnacentral:misc_RNA from 1 species